AAAGUCGUAACAAGGUCUCCGUUGGUGAACCAGCGGAGGGAUCAUUACAGAGUUGCAAGACUCCCCAAACCAUCGCGAACCCACCCCUAAACAGUUGCUUCGGCGGCGCCCGAAGGCCCUAGCGGCCGGACCGCCCGCCGGAGACACCACGAACUCUGUCUGAUCUAGUGAAGUCUGAGUUGAUUGUAUCGCAAUCAGUUAAAACUUUCAACAAUGGAUCUCUUGGUUCCG
rnacentral:misc_RNA from 1 species